rnacentral:rRNA from 1 species
GUCUUUAAGAUUUAAAUUUAAAGUCUAACCUGCCCUAUGAAGUAUUUUAAAUGGCCGCAGUAUUUUAACUGUGCAAAGGUAGCAUAAUCAUUAGUUUUUUAAUUGAAAGCUUGUAUGAAAGGUUGGACGAGAUAAUAACUGUCUAUAAUUAAUAAAUUUAAUUUAAUUUUUAAGUUAAAAAGCUUAAAUAAAAUUAAAAGACGAGAAGACCCUAUAGAUCUUUAUUAAUACAUUUUUUUUUUUUUUUAAUGGAAAAUUUGGAUAUAAAAUUUUAAUUUAAUUAAAUGGGGGAAUUAAAAGAUUUAAUUAAUUCUUUUUUUAAGUAAACAUAAAUUAAUGAAUAUUAUAUCCAUUAUUAAUGAAUAAAGAUUAAGUUACCUUAGGGAUAACAGCGUAAUUUUUUUGGAGAGUUCAUAUCAAUAAAAAAGUUUGCGACCUCGAUGUUGGAUUAAAAGUAAUUUUAGGUGAAGAAGUUUAAAGUUUUAGUCUGUUCGACUAUUAAAUUUUU